CAUCAGUACACACCCACACCCACACACAAAGAGUUACCAGGAUGCAAUGCAGCAAAUUGCCAAGGGUUGUAGAGAGGGCAGAUCUUCUUCACUUCCCAUGCUUAAAAGACACAGAAAGCAAACAGCAAGGUAGAGCUGGUGGACACUUCUUUUUCCCUUGCCCUCUUCAUCCUCUUCUCCAAAAUUAACUUGACAUGAUAGACUUGAACCUGAAUCUGUGUUGCCCAGCAGUUUCAAUUCUCUAUUCUUCGCCUUAAGAAUUGUUUAUCGAUACCCAGAAGAUGCCAACUUGAAUCAAAAACAAGUUCAUACAGCAACUGUGUCUGCACUGAGGAGUGUUUCAAAAAAUUGGUUUCCUGUAGCAGCCACUUUUGCAAGAGGAUCCACAAAACAGUUUCGGAAUUGCCGAUGUGCCAACCCAAGCUGAAAAAACCGGGACAUGAAAUUUCGUAGGUAUGUCCACAGGACAUGAAAUUGAUUUUGAAGGAACCAAAUUAAUCUCCAAAACUGAACACUAUAACAAGAGAAUAAUUAUGGAAGCCAUCAAAAUAGAGAAACACCCCCACAACAUGGACAAACGGGAUGACACCUCCCGCCUACCAGACAUCUGGAAACUGGCCUCAGUCAACAAACGAGUCCCAGCCACGAAAAUUGACACCAGAACCAGGAUAACACACAAUGCCACCACCGAUCAUCCUCACCAGAUUCAAACCCAAACCCAUCCCAAAGAUGAAACAUAACCACCAUCCAGAAGCCAGACCAUGCUGGCACCACUGGCUGCUGCGCCCCCCUCCGAUCCCCAUGCAAAGCAAGCUGACACACGCCAGGAACACAUGACAGGACCUUGGACUCAGAGCCAGGCCAGGGCCUGGGAUGCUGCAUCACAGCCAUCUGCUCAAGACAUCACAUCACAGAACUCCAAAGACCAAAACACCAAAGCUCAGGAACAAAAGACUAGGACCACACCCACACAGGAUGCUGCAAGGCAGCCGACCAAUCUGCAAACACCCACUCCAUCUACCAAUCAAGAUGCAACCACACAGCCAACCAACCCACUCACAGCAACACUCCCCACCUCGACCAAUCUGCAAACACCCACUCCAUCUACCAAUCAAGAUGCAACCACACAGCCAACCAACCCGCUCACAGCAACACUCCCCACCUCCCCACCAGAGAGACGGCAGCUCCAACCACGUUUUGCUCACAGAGGCACGAAGCCGAAAGCACCAUCCUGAAGAUGAUGAGUGAGACCUCGUCAAAACAUCGCCAAGAUACUCUCAACCUUACACGGGAAAAGACCUGAAUAUGCCAAGACCUACAUAUCCCAACCUGGAUAAAUGGGAUUCAUGAUCAGCACUGGCAGCAUGAUACCAGUUACAAACUAGAAUAAUUCUUCAAGCAGGUAUCCCUUUUGGACAUAGUCCUCACACCCAAACAACUGCUUGCACAUACAAGUCUUUUGCAGGCAACUAUGCUCGCCACAUGGACACGAUGAAGGCAUCACCAGAAGUUUCAAGAAGGAAUAUUUCUACAGCAUACAUUGCUCUCCAACAACGGUUCUCAACCUGUGGGUCGGGACCCCUUUGGGGGUCGAAUGACGAUUUGCCAGGGGUCGCCUAAGACCAUCGGAAAUAUGGGAAGUAUACUUGCGAGUCGAAGAAUCGCGCUCCAAUGGUUGACUCCACAAGCCAGCUGCAGGCUCUUCAAAUCGCUAGCCGAAUUCGGCUUCAGGCACAAUGAAUUAAAAAAGAGAGAAAUCUUUGCUCUGAUGUCUCCCUCUCAAACCAGCUGCAAUCACUCCCAAUCGCUAGCCUAAUCUGGCUUCAGGCGCGAUAAAUUCAAAACGAAAAUAAUUUUACAGUUGGGGUCGCCACAUCAUGGGGAAUUGUAUUAAAGGGGUUGCCACAUCAUGGGGAAUUGUAUUAAAGGGGUCACAGCACUAUAAAGGUUGAGAACCACUGCUCUACAAGAUGCUUGCCGCUUUUUCUGGAUAAUUGAGUUGAAGGAGUUUCAAGCUAAAGCAAGGGAUCAUACCAGUGGUGAAAUCCUGCCGGUUUUGUCCGGCUUGUCUGAGCCAGUAGCGCCAGUGGCAUGUGGUUCGGCGAACCAGUAGCGGUGGCAGCACAGCUGGUCCUUACUUCCUAGUUUUAACCCUCUGCACAUUCACAGAAGGUCAAAAAUUGGACGUGAAGAUAGCGCACACACUUCUGAACCAGUAGCGAAGCUCUUUGUCCGUGUUGUUCUUUCUUCCCUCUCUAACAGCCUGCCAGUGGGGAAAAAAACAUGUCUGGACCUAUCGCUUGCAGGAUACCUUAGGGACUGAAUAUUGGACUGAAGUUACAACCUUUCUGAUUGCGUAUGACAUAUUUCAGGAUGUAAACUCCUGGAACCAGAUCGAGGAAAGAGCCAUGAUGAUGAGUCUCUUCUGAGUAAAUUAAUCCUAAAAGACUUCUAAAGUAUAUAAUAAAUGCAAAUUUAGACAUGCAAGAUUCCUAAGGCUUAGAGCUUUGGCUGAAAUGGAAAGAACAGUUGAGCAGGUUCCACAUAGAGAUUUAAUUGCUAAAGUUCACAGUAUGUCAGUAUCUCCUUCUAUAUUUAGUACCGAGAUUGUCUUCCUUAAUCCAAAUGUGGUGGUGCAUCAUCUAGUUAACACACAUAAAAUAUGAAUUACAGUUUAAGAGUGUACUGGUAAAUUGUUUUCCAAUUAAAACACACAGUAAGUAGCCUGAGUGAAGCAAUAAGAAUAAACGAAGCGUGUUAAUUAUAGCUUGACAGAUCCUGCAUGUGGUUGGCAAUUAUCUCUCACCCCUGUGUUUUCUGAAAUCAGUCCAAAUGUAUGAAGAGACUUGGAUGUGAAUCAUCAAGCUGAGCACAAUCUUAAUGGGUCACGCAUUAAGUAUGAGCCUCAUCAAAAAAUGCACUUGAUGCUGGAAUCAUCUUCUACCAUAGCUUGGGCCAUCUUUCUUUUUAAUACUUUAUGGCUGGGGAAGGUAUUAAUUGUGUUCUCUUUGCUGACGAAGUCAAAAUAUUUAACACUAUUUAACUAUUUAACACUACCAACAAUACAGCUACCCUUCAAAAAGACCUUGACUUUGUGUCAGAAUGGUCAAAAACUUGGCAACUCCAAAUCUCAACCAGCAAAUGCUCUGUCUUACACAUUGGAAAAAAGAAUCCAAACGCUAAAUACAAACUCAAUGGACAUUACCUUACAGAUGACCCCCACCCUUUUAAAGACCUUGGAGUUUUCAUAUCCAAUGAUCUAAGUGCCAGAGCCCACUGCAACUACAUCGCAAAAAAGGCUUUAAGUGUUGUAAAUCUAAUCUUACAUAGCUUCUUCUCCAGAAACACUACAUUGCUAACCAGAGCUUAUAAAACAUUUGCUAGACCAAUUCUUGAAUACAGCUCGCCUGUCUAGAACCCAUACCACAUUUCAGACAUCAAUACAAUUGAACGUGUCCAGAAAUAUUUUACAAGAAGAGUUCUCCACUUCUCUGAAUACAACAAAAUCCCUUAUGCCACCAGACUUGAAAUCCUGGGUUUAGAAAACUUAGAACUCUGCCGCCUUCGACAUGACCUGAGUUUAAUUCAUAGAAUCAUCUAUUACAAUGUCCUUCCUGUUGAAGACUACCUCAGCUUCAAUCAUAACAAUACAAGAGCAAACAAUAGAUUUAAACUCAAUGUUAACCGUUUCAAUCUUGACUGCAGAAAAUAUGACUUCUGUAACAGAGUUAUUAGUGCUUGGAACACACUACCUGACUCUGUGGUCUCUUCUCAAAAUCCCCAAAGCUUUAACCAAAAAUUCUCUACUAUUGACCUCACCCCAUUCCUAAGAGGUUUUUAAGGGGUGUGCCUAAGAGCACAAAUGUGCCAACCGUUCCUGUCCUAUUGUUUCCUUUCAU